CUGCAUAAACUCGAUUUCUUAACUCUGCAUGAUAUUUCAGAAGUGAGGGGAACCAGCUCUGCUAAAGUAACUCCAGUGAUUGAAAUGAACUAACUACAUAUUGUGCCGAAGUGCCUAUUCUAUCCUAGUCCAAGG